rnacentral:rRNA from 1 species
GACGAACGCUGGCGGCGUGCUUAACACAUGCAAGUCGAAGGGUAAGGCCCUUCGGGGUACACGAGUGGCGAACGGGUGAGUAACACGUGGGUGAUCUGCCCUGCACUUCGGGAUAAGCCUGGGAAACUGGGUCUAAUACCGGAUAGGACCACUGCCUGCAUGGGUGGUGGUGGAAAGCUUUUGCGGUGUGGGAUGGGCCCGCGGCCUAUCAGCUUGUUGGUGGGGUGAUGGCCUACCAAGGCGACGACGGGUAGCCGGCCUGAGAGGGUGACCGACCAUACUGGGACUGAGAUACGGCCCAGACUCCUACGGGAGGCAGCAGUGGGGAAUAUUGCACAAUGGGCGCAAGCCUGAUGCAGCGACGCCGCGUGAGGGAUGACGGCCUUCGGGUUGUAAACCUCUUUCAGCACCGACGAAGCGCAAGUGACGGUAGGUGCAGAAGAAGGACCGGCCAACUACGUGCCAGCCGCCGCAGUAA